UCAGAGGUGCUGAGGCAUGGCCACUCACAUCAUCAACAGUAAAUAAAACAUCACUUCACUACUUUAAAUAAGUUUAUUUAUUUACGUUAGAUCAAUCAUCACGAGUCGGUGAAAUCUAUAAACACCGACUGGACAGUUUCGAGAACACCAUGGCACCGAGGUGCAGGAUUUCAAUCUCGGCCCCAAGUCGAAAAUAUCAGGAAGUCCGAUACACCUACGUGACUGUCAUUCGUUCCGGAGUCACGUCGAUUGGCUCAUCUGCGGUUUUGAUUUUAAGGAGGGAGGGGAAGAAGGAAGGAGAAGACCGCUCUUUCUGUACAUUUCUGAGCGAUAACGCCGCUGUUAAAAUGCAGCGCUCCUAAAAUGAACAGGUUGGACAUGUCGUGUCCAGGACACAUCGUGAUGAAGGUGAGCAGGAAAAUCCAAUCAGGGCUUUGAUGAAAUCUGAUCUAGUGACUUUCAUUCUACUAUUUUUAUUUUUAUUACAGAUGCUUUAUUGUAAACAACUUGAAAGUGACUGUGUGGUGUGUGUGUGUGUGUGUGUGUGUGGUGUGUGUGUGUGUAACUCAAGGGGAAAAGCGCACGCGUGUGUGUGUUAGAUUGAAGUCCAUGGACUUAAGUAAAGUGGAACAAGAGACAGAAAGAGAGAGAUGGAUGGAUGGAGGGAUUGAUGAAGGAAGGGAUGAGAGUUAUCCUGUACGCAGGAUGAUGUGAACCCCGGAGUCAGUAAACACCGGACCGCUCAUGUCUCCGACCUUCAGCGCAAAUGAGGCUUCUUCAAAAGG